rnacentral:lncRNA from 1 species
CUCUAUUUUACAUUACUUUUACAUUUUAAAUUCAGGCACUGCAAUGCAGUGUCCAUUUUCUAGUUCUAUUUUUUUCAUUUGGAUUCAGAGACUACAUUGUAGUGUCCCCUUCCUUAACGACCAGCUCGAGCACCCCCACUUUGUGGAAGUCCCUCUCUUCUCUCUCUCGGUGGAAGCUUUCUCAGAGGUAAGAUUUUAUUUUCUCUUCACUUGUUCAUUAACUAUGACCUAUAAUUGAAAUCUAGGUGGGAAUCGACAGACUGUUUACAGACCGAUGACGAUGGGGUUUCUAUGCCCGCAAUGCUACUAAAGCAUCUAAUCGGGUUAAGUUUUUUGGCCAGGCCAGACUAGAUGCUUGGGAUCGAUUUUGUGGGAGAGUAAGGGCCCAACACAUUCGAGGUCGUGCUUGACUAGAACGUCAGCAUUAUGAGUUUUGGCAAUCCAAAAACCCUAAUUGCAACGGGAUGGAAUCAAAUUGAUAAGAGAUGGAAACCCCCAAAUGCCUAGAAAGUUUGAGUUGGAAAAGCUUUGAGAUCCGGAAUCAGAUUGGGGGGUAGGGAUUUACGUGAGAUAAUGAAGGAAUAAAGUCAGGAAAGAAAGGUAUACUAGUUACUUUCUCACUAGCCUAAACUCAUAUAGCAUGGUUCAUUGACCUAUACAUAAUUAUUAUAAAUAUUUCAUUAAUUAUUCCCAAAAAUAAAAAUUACCAUUGAUAUAAGAUUAAUUAGUAAAGAUUUUAUUUGGCCUUUGGCCAAAUAACCUUAUUGUGAAUUUGUGAAAUUGUUGGAAAAAUGUGAAAUUAUAGGAAGUACGUUUAAAUUUGAUAAAAUUGUAGAAAUAUGUGAAAUUGUAGGAAAUAUGUGGAAAAUUUGUGAAAUUGUAGGAAAUGUGUGAAUAUUUGUAAAAUUUGAAGGGAAAUUAUGAAAAUUUGAUAAAAUUGUAGAAAUAUGUGAAAUUGUUGGAAAUAUGAGAACAUUUGUGAAAUUUGUAAGAAAAUGUGAAAUUUUGGUAAAAUACUAGAACUAUGUGAAAUUGCAGGGAAUAUGUUUAAAUUUGGUAAAAUUGUAGAAAUAUGUAAAUUUAUAGGAUAUAUGUGAAAAUUUGUGAAAUUUAUAGGAAAAUGAGAAAUUUUGGUAAAAUUCUAGAAAUAGGUGAAAUUGUAUGAAAUAUGUUUAAUUUGGUAAAAUUGUAGAAAUAUACAAAAUUUGUAGGAAAAUGUGAAAUUUUGAGAAAUUUAUAGGAAAAUAUGAAAAUUUGGUAAAAAUCUUGAAAUAUGUAGAAGUGUAGGAAAUAUGUUUAAAUACGGUUCAAUUGUAGAAAUAUGUGAACUUGUAGAAAUUUAUGAAAUUAUGAUUUUUUUUUUUUGCACAAAUGUCUUUGCGCCAAACUACCAACUGCAAAUGCUCUGCCUUUGCCUCUAGUCAAACUGAGCGGUCAACCUCAGCGCUAGCUAGGCAGCCACUGCUGAGCUGGCGGCCUAUGCCAAUAUUAAUGUACCAUUGGGGUGAGUGGCCCAAUCUACCAGGCGCCCUCACAACUGCAAAUGACACAACCUUGUACUUAAGAGAUCUAGCA